rnacentral:rRNA from 1 species
GAUGAACGCUGGCGGCGUGCUUAACACAUGCAAGCCGAACGGUGAACACGGAGCUUGCUCUGUGGGAUCAGUGGCGAACGGGUGAGUAACACGUGAGCAACCUGCCCCUGACUCUGGGAUAAGCGCUGGAAACGGCGUCUAAUACUGGAUAUGUGACGUGACCGCAUGGUCUGCGUUUGGAAAGAUUUUUCGGUUGGGGAUGGGCUCGCGGCCUAUCAGCUUGUUGGUGAGGUAAUGGCUCACCAAGGCGUCGACGGGUAGCCGGCCUGAGAGGGUGACCGGCCACACUGGGACUGAGACACGGCCCAGACUCCUACGGGAGGCAGCAGUGGGGAAUAUUGCACAAUGGGCGCAAGCCUGAUGCAGCAACGCCGCGUGAGGGAUGACGGCCUUCGGGUUGUAAACCUCUUUUAGCAGGGAAGAAGCGAAAGUGACGGUACCUGCAGAAAAAGCGCCGGCUAACUACGUG